UACGUAGGGGGCUAGCGUUGUCCGGAUUUAUUGGGCGUAAAGAGCGUGUAGGCGGCCAGGUAGGUCUGCUGUGAAAACUCGAGGCUCAACCUCGAGACGCCGGUCGAAACCAUCAGGCUAGAGUCCGGAAGAGGAGAGUGGAAUUCCCGGUGUGAGCGGUGAAAUGCGCAGAUAUCGGGAAGAACACCCGUGGCUAAGGCGGCUCUCUAGUACGGUACUGACGCUGAGACGCGAAAGCGUGGGGAGCGAACAGG
rnacentral:rRNA from 1 species